rnacentral:rRNA from 1 species
UACGUAGGGAGCAAGCGUUGUCCGGAAUCAUUGGGCGUAAAGCGCGCGUAGGCGGCCUCGUAAGUCCGUUGUGAAAGUCAAAGGCUCAACCUUUGAAAGCCGAUGGAUACUGUGAGGCUAGAGUCCGGAAGAGGCGAGUGGAAUUCCUGGUGUAGCGGUGGAAUGCGCAGGUAUCAGGAGGAACACCAAUAGCGAAGGCAGCUCGCUGGGACGGUACUGACGCUAAGGCGCGAAAGCGUGGGGAGCGAACAGG